rnacentral:lncRNA from 1 species
ACAGAAUAUUUCUAUGUAGACUGUGAGGCUUACCUGAUGAGGAAUAUUAGUAUAGUAAGAAAGAGUGGAGUUCCAUCAUAAAGUUGGAUCUAGUUAUCUUUGCCAUAAUUGUUAGCAACUUUGAAAGCGCCAUAAGAAGUACUCCUCCAAGCAAUUUCUUUAGGCAGUUCACCUGUAAGCAUCAGACACCAGUCAGAAUAAUUUAAAUCCAGAUAUCUGUCCUUGCCAUGCAUAAUCAAACUUUCAUUAGUGCGAAAUUAACAAAAUUGUAAGUGUUAGCAACUUAGCAUUUCAGAAUAAUGUUUUAAACAAAAAGCAAGAUGGUGCUGGUGCAAACAAUAUUACACCAAGACAUACUUCUGCAUCAAUUUAUCUUGGGACAGCGGAUUCGUUGAAGUAUAAAUCAGUCUGUUAAAAUUUGGGCAAUCAGAUAACUGUAUCAGCAAAAAAAGUAAAUCAGACAACUGUAUCAGCGAAAAAAGCAAGCAAGCUGGGCUUAUAGCCUAGCGGAUACCUCUGUAAUCUUAGUAAUAGAAGGUUGGUGGUAAUAGCCUCGGUUAAAAAGAGUGUGUGCCAGAACAAUAACUCUUUGAAAAUAACUAACUUUUCUUUAUUUUUUUAUAAAGGAUCUUUAAGUCUAACUAUCAGACCUAGUUGAAGAGCCUAGAAACGUAUAACCUAUAGCUUGUGGGAAUUCAGUUGCUGCAACUGAAAGUAAAAAGAGGAUUUUGCUUAGAUCUAUGACAACUCAAGUGAACAACGUCAAGCCAACAGAAAGAUGUGUACAGUAA